rnacentral:lncRNA from 1 species
GGCACUGUAUUAUUACAAAUUCGGCACUAUGGAAAAUGGUUUAAUUUUAAGAAAAUAAAAUAAAAAAUUAUACCAGGGGUACGCAAUUACGCCUGGGGGAAUUUGCAGCGGCAAAAAAUAUCCCACUUGCGGGUGUGUUGUAAAUUGAGUAUGUGAGUAUAGUAACAACAGUUUCGGCCGUUCAGCUCUUCUGCCGGCGCUCUCUGGUUCUGACAGGUAAUAAAAUAAAUAAAUCGGACAACAUGGCAUGCAGACAACAGUGCAAUUAUUGCGCAAUUUCCGAUUUAAAAUCCAACUUCUCACAUUUAACCGUGAAACACCCAGUUCACUUUACUAGUUUUAAAAUGGAAGAGAAGAAAUAAAUGGAAGAAAAGUGGAUCUGUACAAGUUGCACACUGUUGAAUGACGCCACGGUCGAGAAAUGCGUCGCUUGCGAGACUGAAAAGGGGCAAAAGGGCAAUGAGUCAUCUACAUCGAUUUUGCCGAACAACAUUACAAAUAUUUGAAUGAUGAUGUGGAUGAUGAUGCCGAUGAUGAAGGAGAUGAAGGUGAUGAAGUGGAGGAUUCAGACAAAGAGGAGACAGAGGAAGCUGCAAAGGAAGGAAAAGGAGAUAAAGCUGAAGAAGGAGAAGGAGAAAGCAAAGCCAAAGAAGAAGAAGCGGGAACACCAGAGAGUGGAGCAGUUGCUGUUGCUGGUCCUACCAACUACCAAAAAAGAAAACUGCGAGACCAGCAAAAGAAGAGUAGGGCCAAAAAGGUGAACAAAGGAGCAAUCGACAGUCUUGCUGAUCAACUCGCUGCUUGCAACUCAGAUGAUGAGAAAUAGGCCCUUCUCGUAAUAGCAGCGAAUUCAACGUCGGUCCUUCAACGUCUUCAUGACAAAAUGGUUGUUUCUAAUUCGGCCAAUGAAACACAAUAAACUUUUUUUCUUUUUCUUUCAAACUUCUAUUUUCCCAACUCGGCAACGUUGUCAGAAGGUGUUGUUGCGGAUGGUUUGUUUGGUGGAAUGGUUGAGUAUCCGGAAAGCAUGAGUAGGGAAUUUAACCACCAUUCAAAACAAUUCACAAGCGUUGAAGUGUCCACAUUAUUUAAGCAUUCACCUGCUCGAGCUUUUUAACAAAUUACAAGAAGCAUCAUUAAUGCAUUAGGCCCACGAAGAGACUUGUGGCUUAAACCAGCGCCUCGGACCGCUCGGCCACGCUACCACUUGUGGAUGGUAGUUACCUAUUUUCACCAAUCCCACUGUAUUCCUUUUUUGUACUCCACAAAAUUAACUCCAGGUAAGAAACUCGACGUCAUGUUUUUAUCGACCCGUAACUUGUUGAUGUAGUUAUUGAUUACGAU